rnacentral:rRNA from 1 species
GAUGAACGCUGGCGGCGUGCCUAAUACAUGCAAGUCGAGCGAACAGAUGAGGAGCUUGCUCCUCUGACGUUAGCGGCGGACGGGUGAGUAACACGUGGAUAACCUACCUAUAAGACUGGGAUAACUUCGGGAAACCGGAGCUAAUACCGGAUAAUAUAUUGAACCGCAUGGUUCAAUAGUGAAAGACGGUUUUGCUGUCACUUAUAGAUGGAUCCGCGCCGCAUUAGCUAGUUGGUAAGGUAACGGCUUACCAAGGCGACGAUGCGUAGCCGACCUGAGAGGGUGAUCGGCCACACUGGAACUGAGACACGGUCCAGACUCCUACGGGAGGCAGCAGUAGGGAAUCUUCCGCAAUGGGCGAAAGCCUGACGGGGCAACGCCGCGUGAGUGAUGAAGGUCUUCGGAUCGUAAAACUCUGUUAUUAGGGAAGAACAAAUGUGUAAGUAACUAUGCACGUCUUGACGGUACCUAAUCAGAAAGCCACGGCUAACUACGUG